GACCAAACAAGCUAUAUCCACUGGGAGCAUUGUAGACAAGAAUUCCCUCGAGUGGGCUGGAGACAGUGAAGACUGGCACUUGAUUCCAAAAUAGAUGCUUCUUAUGCUUUCACCUGAAAAUACUGCGUGUGCUCAAGAGUAGAUAUGUAAAACGUUAAAAUAACACUUCCAUCGGGUUCAUACACAGUAGAAAACCUAAAAAUUUUAAAAAUAUUUAAAUUUAAAAAAUUAAAUAAAAUAUUUAUUAAAAAAUAUUUAAUUCAUAUAAUAUAUUUUUAAGAUAUAAUAUUUCAAUUUUCACUAAUAUAUAUAAUAUAAUUUUCUGACGAAUAAUGAUCAGUUGAUAAUCAUCCUUAUCAUCAUGUGAUUUCAUCAUUAUAACCACACUUAUUCUAAAAAACAUACACAAAGCCAUGCACACUCGGGGGCGGAGCCACGUUAAAAAGAAUUAUAAUCCCAAAUUUAUAAAGUUUAAAUUCUAGCUACGUCUUUAUGCACACUCUCUCACACACAUAUAUGGGGGCGGUUUGCAGCCUGAAAUUUAACCCGUGGACAACUUUGUUUGAGUUAGCUCACUCUAACAAAGGAAUUAGAUCAAAUAACAAGAAAAUAAAUUUUUACUGCUCUAGAAUAACUUCCCCUAAUCAACAAUGCGAUUCACUUGUUAUUGCAUUUAUCAUUUAAUUAACAUAUAAAAAUUGUUUCUAAAGAAUUGAUUUCCCAUUUACGGAGAACUUAAUAUUCUAUAUUUUUCAAGUGCGAUAGUCUUUUUCUGUUCUCCCAUUGCCUAUCAAGCGUCUUCAAAGAUAUUAUAUUUUGUAUUCAAUUUCUUCCCUCGUGAGUUAUAUACUAAAAGUUUUGAACAUAUAAAAGGAUUUAUUUUAAAUAAAUAAAAAAUAAUUUCCUUGAUCAAAUAUAAAUAAUAUUUUACAAUAGAUACUUCAAGCUACCAAAUUUUGCCACAUAUAUGAGAAUCAAUUGUAUUAAAGAAGAGUUCCUUCCAAUAAUUAAUCAAUAAGAAUAAUUCAACAUCUCAAAAAUUAUCACCUGCUUAUCCAGUAGCAAUAUAAAUUAAUAAAAAUCUCUUCGUUUCAAAAUUACAUUAAAAAUCAGAAAGCAGGAGAUCCCAAAGACAAAUUUUCAUGUCAUGGAAAUUAUUACUUUUUAAAUUGCUAUACUUAAUAUGAUCAAAGAUAAAUUGAAAGAAAGCCAUGAUUAACUUUACACAUUUGGAAAGCAGAAUGUAUAUAUUAAAUGCAAUGUGUAAUUGGCCUUUAUUAUGGAUUAUCAAACAAGUCAAAAAUCAGAAAGAAAGGAAACACAAUAGUGGAAGUAAUCAACAGAAAAUUAAUAGUUUCCAGAUUAGAGUUGAAAUUAACUCAAGAAACUAGGAUUUGUUUUUUAUACAAAUUUUUACCAUAUUACAAAAUUAAACCUGCCAAUGCUCUGCUUAAGCUUCGGCAGCAAACUUCAAGUAAAAUGAUAUUAUAAACUAUAUAUGUAGAAGAAUGUCGGUAUAUAUAUUAUUCGAAAGCAUCCAUAUAUACACAACAACCUCAAGAGGAAAAGGAAAAUGGAAGAGAUUAUAGAAGUGAAAUUAAGUUGUAAAUGCAAGUUUUGUUUUCCUCUAAAUUCCAUGCAGACGUACCAUGCAUAAGUAUUUGUCACUGCAAUCAUCUUUAGCAGAAUUUAUCAAGACGUUGAUGUUGCUGAAAUAUGCUGCCUACCACUUUUGUUUUCCUUCUUCAAUUCCUCACUAUUAUUUUCUCACCACCUUAGGUAAAAUACUCUAUACAUAUUCUCCCACUCCCAUCACAAA
rnacentral:lncRNA from 1 species